rnacentral:rRNA from 1 species
UGGGGAAUCUUGGACAAUGGGGGGAACCCUGAUCCAGCGAUGCCGCGUGGGUGAAGAAGGCCUUCGGGUUGUAAAGCCCUUUAGGUUGGGACGAAGGUGUUUAGCUGAAUAAGUUAGAUGCUUGACGGUACCGACAGAAUAAGCACCGGCUAACUCUGUGCCAGCAGCCGCGGUAAUACAGAGGGUGCGAGCGUUAAUCGGAGUUACUGGGCGUAAAGGGUGCGUAGGCGGUUAUGUAUGAGAGAUGUGAAAGCCCCGGGCUUAACCUGGGAAGAGCAUCUCUAACUGUAUGACUAGAGUCCAUCAGAGGGUGGCGGAAUUUCCGGUGUAGCGGUGAAAUGCGUAGAGAUCGGAAGGAACGCCGGUGGCGAAGGUGGCCACCUGGGGUGAGACUGACGCUGAGGCACGAAAGCGUGGGGAGCGAACAGG